rnacentral:rRNA from 1 species
CCUACGGGAGGCAGCAGUGGGGAAUCUUGGACAAUGGGCGCAAGCCUGAUCCAGCCAUGCCGCGUGAGUGAUGAAGGCCUUAGGGUCGUAAAGCUCUUUCGCCAGAGAUGAUAAUGACAGUAUCUGGUAAAGAAACCCCGGCUAACUCCGUGCCAGCAGCCGCGGUAAUACGGAGGGGGUUAGCGUUGUUCGGAAUUACUGGGCGUAAAGCGCACGUAGGCGGAUCGGAAAGUUGGGGGUGAAAUCCCGGGGCUCAACCCCGGAACUGCCUCCAAAACUAUCGGUCUAGAGUUCGAGAGAGGUGAGUGGAAUUCCGAGUGUAGAGGUGAAAUUCGUAGAUAUUCGGAGGAACACCAGCGGCGAAGGCGGCUCACUGGCUCGAUACUGACGCUGAGGUGCGAAAGUGUGGGGAGCAAACAGGAUUAGAUACCCUGGUAGUCCACACCGUAAACGAUGAAUGCCAGUCGUCGGGUAGCAUGCUAUUCGGUGACACACCUAACGGAUUAAGCAUUCCGCCUGGGGAGUACGGUCGCAAGAUUAAAACUCAAAGGAAUUGACGGGG